rnacentral:rRNA from 1 species
UACGAAGGGGGCUAGCGUUGCUCGGAAUUACUGGGCGUAAAGGGAGCGUAGGCGGAUAUUUAAGUCGGGGGUGAAAGCCCAGGGCUCAACCCUGGAAUUGCCUUCGAUACUGGAUAUCUAGAGUAUGGGAGAGGUGUGUGGAACUCCGAGUGUAGAGGUGAAAUUCGUAGAUAUUCGGAAGAACACCAGUGGCGAAGGCGACACACUGGCCCAUUACUGACGCUGAGGCUCGAAAGCGUGGGGAGCAAACAGA